rnacentral:rRNA from 1 species
CCAACAGGGAUUGCCCUAGUAACGGCGAGUGAAGCGGCAACAGCUCAAAUUUGAAAUCUGGCCUCGGCCCGAGUUGUAAUUUGCAGAGGAAGCUUUAGGCGCGGCACCUUCUGAGUCCCCUGGAACGGGGCGCCAUAGAGGGUGAGAGCCCCGUAUAGUUGGAUGCCUAGCCUGUGUAAAGCUCCUUCGACGAGUCGAGUAGUUUGGGAAUGCUGCUCAAAAUGGGAGGUAAAUUUCUUCUAAAGCUAAAUACCGGCCAGAGACCGAUAGCGCACAAGUAGAGUGAUCGAAAGAUGAAAAGCACUUUGAAAAGAGGGUUAAAUAGCACGUGAAAUUGUUGAAAGGGAAGCGCUUGUGACCAGACUUGCGCCGGGCUGAUCAUCCGGUGUUCUCACCGGUGCACUCUGCCCGGCUCAGGCCAGCAUCGGUUCUCGCGGGGGGAUAAAGGCCCAGGGAACGUAGCUCCUCCGGGAGUGUUAUAGCCCUGGGUGCAAUGCCCUCGCGGGGACCGAGGUUCGCGCAUCUGCAAGGAUGCUGGCGUAAUGGUCACCAGCGACCCGUCUUGAAACACGGACCAAGGAGUCAAGGUUUUGCGCGAGUGUUUGGGUGUAAAACCCGCACGCGUAAUGAAAGUGAACGUAGGUGAGAGCUUCGGCGCAUCAUCGACCGAUCCUGAUGUUUUCGGAUGGAUUUGAGUAGGAGCGUUAAGCCUUGGACCCGAAAGAUGGUGAACUAUGCUUGGAUAGGGUGAAGCCAGAGGAAACUCUGGUGGAGGCUCGCAGCGGUUCUGACGUGCAAAUCGAUCGUCAAAUCUGAGCAUGGGGGCGAAAGACUAAUCGAACCAUCU